rnacentral:rRNA from 1 species
UACGAAGGGGCUCAGCGUUGUUCGGAAUUACUGGGCGUAAAGCGCACGUAGGCGGACCGGACAGUCAGAGGUGAAAUCCCAGGGCUCAACCUUGGAACUGCCUUUGAAACUAUCGGUCUGGAGUUCGAGAGAGGUGAGUGGAAUUCCGAGUGUAGAGGUGAAAUUCGUAGAUAUUCGGAGGAACACCAGUGGCGAAGGCGGCUCACUGGCUCGAUACUGACGCUGAGGUGCGAAAGCGUGGGGAGCAAACAGG